rnacentral:rRNA from 1 species
CGACGGCAGCCGGGAGCAAUCCUGGUGGCGAGUGGCGAACGCGUGAGUAAUGUAUCGGAACGUACCUUUCAGUGGGGGAUAACGUAGCGAAAGUUACGCUAAUACCGCAUAUUCUGCGAGCAGGAAAGCAGGGGAUCGCAAGACCUUGCGUUGAUUGAGCGGCCGAUAUCAGAUUAGCUAGUUGGUGAGGUAAAGGCUCACCAAGGCGACGAUCUGUAGCGGGUCUGAGAGGAUGAUCCGCCACACUGGAACUGAGACACGGUCCAGACUCCUACGGGAGGCAGCAGUGGGGAAUUUUGGACAAUGGGGGCAACCCUGAUCCAGCCAUGCCGCGUGAGUGAAGAAGGCCUUCGGGUUGUAAAGCUCUUUCAGCCGGGAAGAAAACGCAUGGGUUAAUACCCUGUGUGGAUGACGGUACCGGAAUAAGAAGCACCGGCUAACUACGUGCCAGCAGCCGCGGUAAUACGUAGGGUGCGAGCGUUAAUCGGAAUUACUGGGCGUAAAGCGUGCGCAGGCGGUUUGUUAAGAUAGGCGUGAAAACCCCGGGCUCAACCUGGGAACUGCGUUUAUGACUGGCAGGCUAGAGUAUGGCAGAGGGGGGUGGAAUUCCACGUGUAGCAGUGAAAUGCGUAGAGAUGUGGAGGAACACCGAUGGCGAAGGCAGCCCCCUGGGCCAAUACUGACGCUCAUGCACGAAAGCGUGGGUAGCAAACAGGAUUAGAUACCCUGGUAGUCCACGCCCUAAACGAUGUCAACUAGGUGU